CCAUCCAUACCUCCUCCCCGCCGCCACUCCACCUGGUUCCUCAGGAUCCAUCCCGGUCCAACCAGCGAGCCCCCCUCCUCCUGCCUUGUUCCCCGAAGGGAUCGAGAGAGCUGCCACUGCCUUGUCACCUCCCGCGCCUCUCGACCCCCGCCUCCUCUGCACACAUCUCGUCGGAGCAAGCCCAUCCCGAUCCAGUCGCUGGCGGUGAAUAGCAGCAGCAACCGAGGCCCCACUGCUCCCUGCCUCCUCACCACCGUUGCCUGAUGAGCUCCUCGCCUGCGCCGUCUUCAUCCUCGCCGAGCCUCGCCAUGGAUGCUGCCUCCUCGGCCUCGUCAUAGGACAAGCGCCCAGCCGCUCUGCCUCGAUUACGCGUGGACCAGCCGCCGCCAAGUCCCUUUCCCCGCCGCCUUCCAUUCCUCACCACCCGGAGCAAGCCGCCGCACCGUUCGUCGUCUUCGCGCCAAGCUGCCGUCGCCAAGACCUUGUCUCUGUCCAGAUCCACUCGGCGCUGCCCGUUCCUGACCAUCUGCGCCGCCUGUUCAAGUCCCAGCACCGCCUCGUUCUUCUUCCUGGAGCGAAAGCCGCCACCUGCUCGAUCCCUGCUUCACGAACGAGACGACGAGCGCCCAGUUUCUUCGUUGACGCCCGCAUUGCUUCCCGUGUCGGCCCAGCACGCCUCCUCACCCAGAUGCGGCCUGCCAGCUUGUCCUCUGACCGGGCCGAAGCCCAUGGGUGAGGACGCGCCCAGCCCCUCUCCUAUGCGCUGCUGGGCCAGCCAGAUUUCGGCCCAUGCAUUUUUUUUCGUGCACUACGAAUUUUGCCAUUUAUCCCAAAAACUGAAUAUUUACAGAUUA